rnacentral:rRNA from 1 species
UACGAAGGGGGCUAGCGUUGUUCGGAAUUACUGGGCGUAAAGGGCGCGUAGGCGGUACUUCAAGUCAGGCGUGAAAGCCCCGGGCUCAACCUGGGAACCGCGCUUGAGACUGGAGAACUAGAGUUCGGGAGAGGAUGGUGGAAUUCCCAGUGUAGAGGUGAAAUUCGUAGAUAUUUGGGAAGAACACCGAUGGCGAAGGCAGCCAUCUGGACCGACACUGACGCUGAGGCGCGAAAGCGUGGGGAGCAAACAGG